rnacentral:rRNA from 1 species
AGCAACCGCGGAUUGCCUCAGUAACGGCGAGUGAAGCGGCAAAAGCUCAAAUUUGAAAUCUGGCACUUUCAGUGUCCGAGUUGUAAUUUGUAGAAGUAGUUUUGGGACUGGUCCUUAUCUAUGUUUCUUGGAACAGGACGUCAUAGAGGGUGAGAACCCCGUAUGAUGAGGCCCCCAGUCCUUUGUAAAACGCUUUCGAAGAGUCGAGUUGUUUGGGAAUGCAGCUCUAAGUGGGUGGUAAAUUCCAUCUAAAGCUAAAUAUUGGCGAGAGACCGAUAGCGAACAAGUACAGUGAUGGAAAGAUGAAAAGAACUUUGAAAAGAGAGUGAAAAAGUACGUGAAAUUGUUGAAAGGGAAGGGCAUUUGAUCAGACAUGGUGUUUUGCGCCCUUUGCUCCUUGUGGGCGGAGGAUACGCAGCUCACUGGGCCAACAUCAGUUUUGGGAGCAGGAUAAAUCUGUAGGAACGUAGCUUUCUUCGGGAAGUGUUAUAGCCUAUGGGAAUACUGCUACCUGGGACUGAGGACUGCGUCUUUAACAAAGGAUUUGC